AUUGAACGCUGGCGGCAGGCCUAACACAUGCAAGUCGAGCGAGCGGCGGACGGGUGAGUAAUGUCUGUGAAACUGCCUGAUGGAGGGGGAUCACUACUGGAAACGGUAGCUAAUACCGCAUACCCUCAGAUGUGCCCAGAUGGGAGUAGCUAUUAGGUGGGGUAACGGCUCACCUAGGCGACGAUCCCUAGCUGGUCUGAGAGGAUGACCAGCCAAACUGGAACUGAGAAACGGUCCAGAAUCCGACGGGAGGCAGCAGUGGGGAAUAUUGCACAAGGGGCGCAAGCCUGAUGCAGCCAUGCCGCGUGUGUGAAGAAGGCCUUCGGGUUGUAAAGCACGUUCAGCGGGGAGGCGUUACCCGCAGAAGAAGCACCGGCUAACUCCGUGCCAGCAGCCGCGGUAAUUC
rnacentral:rRNA from 1 species